GCCUUCGUGGUGUAGUGGUCUGCAUGUUCGACGCGUAACCGAGAGGUCCGUGGUUCGAUUCCCGCGAAGGCG
rnacentral:tRNA from 1 species